rnacentral:rRNA from 1 species
AUUGAACGCUGGCGGCAGGCUUAACACAUGCAAGUCGAGCGAGCGGCGGACGGGUGAGUAAUGUCUGGGAAACUGCCUGAUGGAGGGGGAUAACUCAUGGAACCGGUAGCUAAUACCGCAUACCAUCGGAUGUGCCCAGAGGGGAUUAGUUAGUAGGUGGGGUAAAGGCUUACCUAGGCGACGAUCCCUAGCUGGUCUGAGAGGAGGACCAGCAACACUGGAACUGAGACACGGUCCAGACUCCUACGUGAGGCAGCAGUGGGGAAUAUUGCACAAUGGGCGAAAGCCUGAUGCAGCCAUGCCGCGUGUAUGAAGAAGGCGUUCGGGUUGUAAAGUACUUUCAGCGGGGAGGCGUUACCCGCAGAAGAAGCACCGGCUAACUCCGUGCCAGCAGCCGCGGUAAUUC